rfam:Photobacterium halotolerans strain S2753 contig0012, whole genome shotgun sequence.
GCAAUCUCAGGGGGCAACAUAUCUGAGACACAUCCGUCACCAUGAAUUCAGGCUGAUUGCAUGUUGACGAUCCGUAGGUACUGCCGGCGAUUGGCGCUGUCAGUAGAAGGGCAUUAAUCAUGCUGUCUUGCGCAGUAAAGCAAGCGCAUCAUUGAAGGAACCCAACU